CCUACGGGAGGCAGCAGUGAGGAAUAUUGGUCAAUGGGCGAGAGCCUGAACCAGCCAAGUCGCGUGAAGGACGACGGUCCUAUGGUUUGUAACCCUCUUUUGUCGGGGAGCAAAGGCGCCCACGGGUGGGCGGAUGAGUGUACCCACAGAAAAAGCAUCGGCUAACUCCGUGCCAGCAGCCGCGGUAAUACGGAGGAUGCGAGCGUUAUCCGGAUUUCUUGGGUGUAAAGGGUGCGUAGGCGGAUUGAUAAGUUAGAGGUGAAAUGUCCGAGCUUAACUUGGGAACUGCCUCUAAUACUGUUGAUCUAGAGAGUAGAUGCGGUAGGCGGAAUGGAUGGUGUAGCGGUGAAAUGCUUAGAGAGUAGACAGAACACCGAUUGCGAAGGCAGCUUACCAAGCUAUAUCUGACGUUGAGGCACGAAAGCGUGGGGAGCAAACAGGAUUAGAUACCCUUGUAGUC
rnacentral:rRNA from 1 species